rnacentral:rRNA from 1 species
UCGAGAAUCUUCCGCAAUGGACGCAAGUCUGACGGAGCGACGCCGCGUGGAGGACGAAGGCAUUAGUGUUGUAAACUCCUGUCACGGAUUAUGAAUGCGCGUACGUUAAUAGCGUGCGUGUUGACGUAAGUCCGAGAGGAAGCACCGGCUAACUCUGUGCCAGCAGCCGCGGUAAUACAGAGGGUGCAAACGUUGUUCGGAAUCACUGGGCAUAAAGCGCACGUAGGCGGCACGUUAAGUGUGGAGUGAAAUCCCACGGCUCACCCGUGGAACUGCUCUGCAUACUGACGAGCUCGAGGACGGUAGGGGAGAGCGGAACUCUUGGUGGAGCGGUGAAAUGCGUAGAUAUCAAGAGGAACACCGAUGGCGAAGGCAGCUCUCUGGUCCGUUUCUGACGCUGAGGUGCGAAAGCUAGGGUAGCGAACGGGAUUAGAUACCCCCGUAGUCC